AACGAACGCUGGCGGCAGGCUUAACACAUGCAAGUCGAGCGCCCCGCAAGGGGAGCGGCAGACGGGUGAGUAACGCGUGGGAACGUACCCUUUGCUACGGAAUAGCUCCGGGAAACUGGAAUUAAUACCGUAUGUGCCCUACGGGGGAAAGAUUUAUCGGCAAAGGAUCGGCCCGCGUUGGAUUAGCUAGUUGGUGGGGUAAUGGCCUACCAAGGCGACGAUCCAUAGCUGGUCUGAGAGGAGGAUCAGCCACAUUGGGACGGAGACACGGCCCAAACUCCUACGGGAGGCAGCAGUGGGGAAUAUUGGACAAUGGGCGCAAGCCUGAGCCAGCCAUGCCGCGUGAGUGAUGAAGGCCUUAGGGUUGUAAAGCUCUUUCACCGGAGAAGAUAGUGACGGUAUCCGGAGAAGAAGCCCCGGCUAACUUCGUGCCAGCAGCCGCCGUAACAC
rnacentral:rRNA from 1 species